ensembl:lncRNA
CCGGAGCCAAGUGGCUGAACGAAGGAGAGUUACGUCGGUAAGACGAGUUAAUUAUCCGAUGAAAAGAUAGCUUGACGCUUACCGUCGUCGUCCAUGCUAAUGCUAGCUCUGUGCUUAGCAGGCUAACUGCUUGCCUGUCCUCCGGAGAGCUGUUACGAGGUUCGGCAUCGGCAUGCUCCACCUUGAUACACAGAGCAACGUUCAGGUUUUUUAGAGGACUGAAGAGUCUGAGGUUCAGGACAACUUCCUGCUGUAAAAGAUGGCGAGCCAACUACCCUGAUUGAAGAUUAGCACCGAGGAGAUAUUCACGUACACACUCAUUCACACAAAUAAUACACUCACAUUACACUACAAGGAACCUUGGAAUCAGGUGAACUUGCAACAACUCCUUUUAUUUUAAGGGCCCCAACAGACAUUUUUGUUUUAAGUGUGAACACUACUUUUUUUUAUUUUUCUUACCGUUUGGUAUAAUAUUUUGCAUUUUGUACGAACCAGACAAAUUACUUUGUUCACUGUAAAAUAUAAGAGUGGCU